CGAUUGGAUAGCACUUUUAAAGUGCGAAAUCGUCUGCAAUCCGGACAACACCACGCACUGGUGUGACGACCGUUCAACUGCCGCAGUCUUGCGGCUUCAAU
rnacentral:ncRNA from 1 species